rnacentral:lncRNA from 1 species
AGAGAAAAACAAGCUUCGAUUCGUGAGAGUAGAGGCCAGAGAAAGAAAGAGAAGCUUUGAUUUGGAGUUAAGCUUCGAUUUGGAGUUAGGGUUCGUGAGAGAAAGGACGACUGCGAGUGAGAGAGAGAGGACGGCGCUGGUGGUGAGUUGAGAGAGAGGACGGCGCUAGUUCUUGCGAAGGUGAGGGGUUAAGGUUGCUGCGAGCAGGGUUGCUGCGUUUUGGGUGUUCUUCGCGAAGGUUGCUGGGUUUUGGGUGUUCUUCGCGAAGGUGAGAGGGUUUUUUCUUUUAAGUCUUGAUAAUUGGGAGAGAGAUAUCAGAUACACAUGACUAUUACCUUGUUCCAAAAAUAUUAUUUUAUUUUUUUUAUUCAACCUGACGUUUUACAUCUGUGGCUAAAUAUGACCAGAUAUAUACAUAUUUUAGAUAAUUUUCACCAUAAUUACAAGAUUGCCAC